GUCAGCUUCAUGUUCAAAUAUCAUGUCGAGUGUGAGAAAUCAAUGCUAAUCUAGUAUCUUAGUUGAAAAGUAAGUGUACCGAUGGCAUGUCCACAGAGUAAACAAUGUCGUUGAAGGGUUUUACUGAGAGAUAAUGAAAUAAUUGAUGAGUAUCAACAAUACCUUGCUGGCCAUCAAAUGGAUGACUGGACUUCUUUACUCUGGAAUUCAUUCACGGUCACUGAAUUCUGUGCAUACAUUACUGGGGAAGACCAAUAUCCCCAGAUCCACCAUUUCUUGAUAUUGUCUGCAGAAAUCGAGUGAUGAAGCCGCCAAGCACUAUAAGUAUUAACAUUGCAAAUGAAGCAAGUGUGUUUGCCACAACCUUAUCUCUGCCUAUUGCACCAACAAGCCGGAACAGUCCAGAGGCCAUUUGGCUGAUCAAUGAAAAUAUAAGGAAUUGCCUAAACAACCUACAAUGAGAAGAAUUUCCGGUUAGUCUGUGGCAGGACCUCAAUGCUUUCUUAUCUAUUCAUUGGCAGAAUUCUCAUCAAGCGAAUCAAUUCUCACCGCUGCACACUUGGAUCAAAGCCUAUAACAUAAAUACAGGUAGCUUGGCAACGCUCAUUGCAAGUUCUGCAAAUCCGUUGAACAUAUGAGUGGAAGGCUGUCAUUGUAAUGAAGGCGAGCAGCCCAAGCUGGGGAGAACAACAUCAGCAACUCAGACAAAUGCAUUCCUCUUCGUCAGCAGAAGCUCUCUUGAGAUGCAUGCCUUGAGUAAUUCACGCUUGCUAAUGCCAUAUCUUGUAGUCGUUAGAGCUGCCGGAUGGUUCUUGCUUCUGUCGAAAGGAGCGCUGAGUUCCUCUUGCAGCCUAUGCCCUACAUGGAAGGACUGGAAUGAAUCUAAAGUCUGCAACACCUUUUCUCUGAGGACAUUUGAAUCCCAUGGACUCAAAGAAGUCAAGCACAUGUUCUCGAGGGCCCUGAUAUACG